UGGGGAAUAUUGGACAAUGGGCGCAAGCCUGAUGACGCAACGCCGCGUGGGGGAUGAAGGUCUUCGGAUCGUAAACCCCUGUCGAAUGGGACGAAAGACUCGCGAGUGAAUACUUCGCGAGAGUGACGGUACCGUUAAAGGAAGCCACGGCUAACUCUGUGCCAGCAGCCGCGGUAAUACAGAGGUGGCAAGCGUUGUUCGGAAUUACUGGGCGUAAAGGGCGCGUAGGCGGCAUGACAAGUCACUUGUGAAAUCUCUGGGCUUAACCCAGAACGGCCAAGUGAUACUGUCGCGCUAGAGUGCAGAAGGGGCAAUCGGAAUUCUUGGUGUAGCGGUGAAAUGCGUAGAUAUCAAGAGGAACACCUGAGGUGAAGACGGGUUGCUGGGCUGACACUGACGCUGAGGCGCGAAAGCCAGGGGAGCAAACGGGAUUAGAUACCCCAGUAGUCCCUGAGCGGGCUGGCAAGGCGCAU
rnacentral:rRNA from 1 species